GUGUUGAAGUUUUUAAGGGCGCACGGUGGAUGCCUUGGCAUCAAGAGCCGAUGAAGGACGUGGGAAUCUGCGAUAAGCCUGGUGGAGUCGAUAACCGGACGUUGAUACCAGGAUUUCCGAAUGGGGGAACCCCGCACCAUGUUAUGUGGUGUGACCUGCAGCUGAAUGUAUAGGCUGUGUGGAGGGAACGCGGGGAAGUGAAACAUCUCAGUACCCGCAGGAAGAGAAAACAAUAGUGAUUCCGUUAGUAGUGGCGAGCGAACGCGGAUGGGGCUAAACCGGUUGGUGUGUGAUAGCGGAUAGGCGUUGCAUCAUCGGGGUUGUGGGGUUGACAUGUACCAGUGCUAUCUUGCUGGUGGGAUGAGGUGCAGGCGUAUAGGUGAAUCGGUUGGAAUGCCGGACCAUAGAGGGUGAUAGUCCCGUAGGUGUAAUGCGUGUCUGCCGUUCUAGUGUUGAUACCCGAGUAGCACGGGGCCCGUGAAACCUUGUGUGAAUCUGCCAGGACCACCUGGUAAGCCUGAAUACUACUUGAUGACCGAUAGUGAAUCAGUACCGUGAGGGAAUGGUGAAAAGUACCCCGGGAGGGGAGUGAAAUAGUACCUGAAACCGUGCGCUUACAAUCCGUCAGGGCCUGGGACUUGUUCCUGGGUGAUGGCGUGCCUUUUGAAGAAUGAGCCUGCGAGUUAGUGCUGUGUCGCGAGGUUAACCCGUGUGGGGUAGCCGUAGCGAAAGCGAGUCUGAAUAGGGCGUUUGAGUGGCACGGUCUAGACCCGAAGCGAAGUGAUCUACCCAUGGCCAGGUUGAAGCGCGUGUAAGAGCGUGUGGAGGACCGAACCCACUUCAGUUGAAAAUGGAGGGGAUGAGCUGUGGGUAGGGGUGAAAGGCCAAUCAAACUUCGUGAUAGCUGGUUCUCCCCGAAAUGCAUUUAGGUGCAGCGUUGCGUGUUUCUUGCUGGAGGUAGAGCUACUGGAUAGGCGAUGGGCCCUACAAGGUUACUGACCUUAGCCAAACUCCGAAUGCCGGUAAGUGAGAGCGCAGCAGUGAGACUGUGGGGGAUAAGCUUCAUAGUCGAGAGGGAAACAGCCCAGAACGCCAACUAAGGCCCCUAAGCGUGUGCUAAGUGGGAAAGGAUGUGGAGUUGCUGUGACAACCAGGAGGUUGGCUUAGAAGCAGCCACCCUUGAAAGAGUGCGUAAUAGCUCACUGGUCAAGUGAUUCCGCGCCGAUAAUGUAGCGGGGCUCAAGCACACCGCCGAAGUUGCGUCAUUCAAAUAUUAACCUGGUUUCGAUUGGGUGUUUGGAUGGGUAGGGGAGCGUCGUAUAGCGGGUGAAGUCGCGGUGGAAACCAGCGGUGGACGCUAUACGAGUGAGAAUGCAGGCAUGAGUAGCGAAUGACGGGUGAGAAACCCGUCCGCCGAAUGAUCAAGGGUUCCAGGGUUAAGCUAAUCUGCCCUGGGUUAGUCGGGGCCUAAGGCGAGGCCGACAGGCGUAGUCGAUGGAUAACGGGUUGAUAUUCCCGUACCGGCGAAGGACCGCCCAUACUGAGCUGUGGAUGCUAACCAUGAUGGAUCAUGAUUGUUGCAGCCUUCGGGUUGUUGGUUGUGUGAUGUGGUGGGAACCGAUGCAGUGAGGUCAGCGUAUUAACAGGUGUGACGCAGGAAGGUAGCCGAGCCAGGCAAUGGAAUUGACCUGGUCCAAGGGUGUAGGAAGAGUGGUUGGCAAAUCCGCCGCUCAU
rnacentral:rRNA from 1 species